rnacentral:rRNA from 1 species
UACGGAGGGUGCAAGCGUUAUCCGGAUUCACUGGGUUUAAAGGGUGCGUAGGAGGGCAGGUAAGUCAGUGGUGAAAUCUUGGGGCUUAACCCCGAAACUGCCGUUGAUACUAUCUGUCUUGAAUACCGUGGAGAUGAGCGGAAUAUGUCAUGUAGCGGUGAAAUGCUUAGAUAUGACAUAGAACACCAAUUGCGAAGGCAGCUCGUUACACGCAUAUUGACUCUGAGGCACGAAAGCGUGGGGAUCAAACAGG